CAAUAGCGUAUAUUUAAGUUGUUGCAGUUAAAAAGCUCGUAGUUGGAUUUCGGAUGGGAUUUGCCGGUCCGUCGUUACGAUGUGCACUGGCCAGUCCUAUCUUGUUGUCGGGGACUAGCUCCUUGGAUUCACUUCCUGGGACUAGGAGCUGACGAGGUUACUUUGAGUAAAUUAGAGUGUUCAAAGCAAGCCUACGCUCUGAAUACAUUAGCAUGGAAUAACACGAUAGGACUCUGGCUUAUCUUGUUGGUCUGUGAGACCAGAGUAAUGAUUAAGAGGGACAGUCGGGGACAUUCGUAUUUCAUUGUCAGAGGUGAAAUUCUUGGAUUUAUGAAAGACGAACUUCUGCGAAAGCAUUUGUCAAGGAUGCUUUCAUUAA
rnacentral:rRNA from 1 species